UGUGCAUGACGCUUUUGACAGUCAUAACUGAGGCGAUUAAGGAAAGUGAUCAUUUAACAGUCCGUUUGACUGAAAAUAACCAUAAUGAACACCCAGGCACAUUAAAUAGCGUUUUGUCCUCCCUCCUAGCGUUAGCAUCCAAGGGCUCAGGCGAGAAUAUUAGCCUGGCAAUGAGGCGCUGCACUAAUGCUACGCUAACUCUCCCCAACUCCCAUGACUCCCCAGUGUUAGAUAACAGUAAGAGCGACUGUUCAAACUAGUUGGUGUAACGAGGGAUGACCGGGACACACCGCAGCGGAGAGAGGAAGAGACACCCCCCUCCUCCACCGUCCCCCGGGAACAUUUGCAACGUCUCUGUCACACCCCACAGUCCAGUAAAACCCACUGCAGAAGUUGACUAGAUUCACUGUGAGUUUGCAGAAUGGCUGACCUCUGCUGACGGAGUAAAGUCAAAGUUCAGAGAGAAGCAGUGCAGCAGAAGACACAUUUCUGAUGUCUGAACUCAUCCAAUAAAGCACAGUUAAGAAAUGUAAUCCAUGAGCACAGGAGAAGAUGUGUGUCACAUUGUUCUGCUCACUGCAGGGAAAAAAAAGCAAAAAAACUCAAGAGACGGAAGACAGAAAGCAGGAGGGAGAAAUACAGAGAGCGCCACCAAAGGCCCGGACGUAUCGCACAUCACCCCUCCUCCACAUGUUUCAAUCCUUCACUGUGACCUCUGACCUCUGCCCACCCCCCUUCAAACACACACACAGGCAUCCCGUUUCCCUGCGUUAAAUUAACAACACACUUCUGCUCUGACUACAAGACGUACACGCAGUAUUUGAUCUGCUGACACACACUACAUCACUCCACACACACUCCUGAUAGCAGCCGGAUAUGAGCUCUGUGUGUGUGUGUGUGUGUGUGCACGGUCAACUCACGUCUGAUUGAACUACCUUUAAUUUUACAUUUUAAAAAUGCCUUUGAAGAUGAUCACAUUGUUUCUAAAUGAGUGUGAAUAUACAGAAUUACAAAACAUUUAACAAGAACUGAAACAGUUCGAUCAAAGAGACGAUUUAGAUGUUCACACUGAUUUUAUGUUUGUGUCUGUUUGAAUUAUGAUAAAAUAAAAAAUAUGCACAGAAAACAAAUAGAAACAGAAUCAAAACUA